rnacentral:tRNA from 2 species
GCGCCGUUAGCUCAAUUGGCAGAGCAGCGGACUCUUAAUCCGCGGGUUCGGGGUUCAAGUCCCUGACGGCGCAC